UGUCCAGUAACUCCUACCUCUACCUUCCCGUGGUGCCGCCUGGGGUAAGAGUAACCGUAGGGAACAGCGGUUAACUAUCCUCGGUGGAACCUUGGUCGUAUGCUGACAGGUAAGG
rnacentral:ribozyme from 1 species